AUGGCUCCCCCCCUUGAUGACCUCGAUGAGCCUUUUUCCAAAGAGGAAAUUUGGCGCGCAGUCAAGUGCUUGCCUUCCAACAAGGCGCCAGGACCAGACGGCUUCACAGCCGAGUUCCUUCGGGCCUCCUGGGACAUCAUCAAGUAG
rnacentral:rRNA from 1 species